UGUGACAGACAGUUAGGCAUGACCCUCCUGGCUGGCACAAUUCUGUAUGCAUGUGUAUGCACACAGAUACAUACAUACACACACACACACACACACACACACAGAAUGUCCACUCACUUCCCCAUCACCACCCUCACCCCAGCUUGGUGGAAUCAAAGUUACCCACUGGGAAAUAACUUCACAGCUGGAAGAAGCCUCAGAGCUCUCAAAGCCAAUGGCAGCCUUACAUAAACAAGGUCUCUGGAGCCCAGAGAGCCUCAACCCAGUCUAGAAGGAGAAGAACUGGGCUUAGAAUAGAAACCGAGAGACUGCUUCCAUUUCUCACACACCCUUCUCCCAGCAGUCCUCUGCUGGUGUCUGAGAAAUCCUACCCAAGGCUUCGCGGAGGGGAAACCAAGACCAUGGCACUGCAAGAGACGAAAAGGAGAGGGAGGUACGGGAGAGCAGGAAGGGCAGAGUCCACUACGGCCUUGGCCUCCAUCACAGCCUCACUUAUUGUUUUGUUGUUUUGCUGCUCCUCUGGCAGACAGAACAUUUUCACUUCUUGUCCCCAAGUGUGAGAAUUCACCAGGCCACUGGCUUCCUGUUUUGUAUCAGCUUUUGCUCAAACAUCACCAGUUCUAGCUGGGUUUUGCUCACUAAGCAGUUUUUAAAAAUAAUGAUACUUCCAUUUGCUCCUGUUUUGGCCUUCUCAAAGUCACGGAACGCUUAGGAAGGGGCACCAUAGAUUGUGGUCUUCUAGCUCCUGUCACCUGACCUCAUCUACCGACACUGACUUGGAGCAAGACCAUGCAGACUCAUAGAAGGCACUAUGGCUUUGCUCAUGUGUUAGACGGUCCUGUGGUAGGAACGCUCUCCCUCUGUGUGCUCCCUUCUCUAGAAACGUAUCUGAUCACACACACAGGGCGGGAUGUGGUUGAAGGCUGGCAGGAGAAGAGAUGACAAGUGUGAACUUUAAAAAGAGCACCAGGCACGGAGCAGGCUUGGAACAAUGUGCAAAAUGCCUUCGAGAGACUGAAGAAUCCUUUCACUCUGUGUCCUGAGAAGUUCCUGCCUAUGGCCAGAAGCAUACGGGACACAACAGGGGACCUGGAAGAGACAUAAAGCCUAACUCUGUUUGCAGGAAAUGCUUAUGAAGCAGGAGAGAUUCAGUCCUCCAGAGAGACUGGAUUCCCCAUGGGGCCUAGCCCAGUGACUGGAGGAGUAGAGAAACUUGGAUGGAUGGAUGGAUGGAUGGAUGGAUGGAUGGAUGGAUGGAUUGAAAUCAUGAAGCUAUGAGAACCAGAAAGUAUUUAUAAGUAAACCCAGAAGAGAACAAGGCCUGUGAGUCUUGAAAAAGGCUCCGGGAUCGUGUGAGACAUGAGCCAGAAGGAAGAAUGGGCAGAAUGUGGUGAUUUGAGAAAUCAAAGAAAGACUAAAAAGGAAAAGGAAGACCAGGAAGUUGGUGAGUGAGAAGCUCAGAGCUGAGAUCAAUCCCGGGGAGGCCUGAGCCCCCAAAGCCUCAGCCAUCACUGUGAGAAGUUAGUAUCUCACUGGAGGGAGGAGCCAGUUUCUUGGAAGCUAGUCAUUAGAAAGUAGCUGCCCCUUGACCUGAUGCUUCAAGCCAGCACCCCAGGAUUUAAGCAAAGUAAAUUCUAUUCCACCUGAGUAUCUAUUUCCCCAGCCUCCGUUUCCCUACCUGUGAGACUGAAGUAAGACUGGGUACCUGGAGCCCCUGCCAUGAUCAGUCUGUGCCCAACAAAUCCUUCAACAACGGACUCCUAGGGUGGAGCCACUGUUCAGGACGAAGAAAACUGCUAUGCCAUGGGCCUGCGGAAGUAAGGAGAACAAGGGCACACCGAGAGCGUCAGCGGGCUCAGAAAGAGGAAGCGGUUCUCUCUCAUUUCUGCUUCUGGGCAUGGGAAAUACCCGCUCUUCUCCCAGACUUCAACAGCUGUCCUUGUCCUCACCUGCAGCCACAACACCUGGGCCCGGGACUACCUGGGGCUCCAAGUCUAAUCAUCCUUUCAAGUUUCCAGAAGGUUUCUGAGUCCUGCUCAUCUCCAGGGCACCCGACAGGGCCCCACAGACCAUGCCAACCGUAGAAGAUAUUGAGGCUGCAUAACCUGUGAGUUCAAAAGUGGGGUCCAACCUGCAGAGCCAAUAUCCAAGGCAGAGGGGAGCCAAAGACAACAGGCUCUCCUCUCUCUAUCUUUCCUGGGAGUUCUUUGAGGAAGAGAGAGGAUCCAAAGCCAUGAAGGAUCCCUUUCUACAUGCUUGGAGCAUUGUAUCCAAGCCCAUCUGAACUGGGAAUAAAAGCCCCCCGCCCAGUCCCUGGCAGGAAGCAGGAAGGACCUGCCAAACCUGGCUCAUUCCUUCCUCCACAGUCUGCUAUUGGUCAGAGAGAGAUUAGAGUAACAAAAAAUAAAAAACAUAGGAACUUCAGCAAAAAGUGAAGAUAAGGAGAACAAAUAUGGCCAGAGCUCCCCUUCCUGUCUCUGUUCUGGCCUCGGCAUUCUUUAUCCUGGAACUUGGGGCCAGUUGAUCCAGUGGCAGGCUUGAGCAGCACAGGCCUCUUCUGUCUUCCUCCAGCCACAGCUGCUCCGCAUUCAGCCUCUCUGGCUGGAACCACUUUAUACCAAACACCUACUGAGCCAAAUCUCCUAGCACCAGCUCCACCUCUGUCCAGUAGGUCACAGGCAGAGGAGGAAGUGAUGAGGGAGAGGGAGGUGACACAUUCUAAAGUCCUUGUCCAUAGCUGCUUUGUUCAGCCUCAGCCAGGGGCUCCCCACUGCUCCAAACCCCCAGUUGCUUUCUGCCACAUGGGGUAGGCUUUACAUGGGACAGCAGAGACCGGGGGAUAGACCCCACUCUAUGCCCCAUGACCACCCAGUUCAGGGGCCUAAACAGGGAAAUGGUUUCUCAUUGUUCUGGUCGUGUGUAGUGGGCACUGAGGUCUGUCACUAGAGGGAGAACUAGUCAGAGGGAGACAGCCACGGUGGGGAAGGGUGGAAAAUGGCCAAACCAAUCACAGAGAUUGAAAGGUCAAGAUAAAGACCCAAGGUCAGCCUUCAAGGAAGUUUGUCACUGAUGGAAAAGUUAAAAACCAUUUCUGAAAUCACUCUUCUAACCACAGAACUCCCUAAUGAAAAUUAUUGGUUCUCCAACCCCUGGUAUCAACUUUACAGAAUGAAAUGGCAGGAGAUUCUACAUGACAACUUACACUGUGGAGUCGGGGGCCCUUCCCAUUCUGGGCGGCAUAAGAGAGGAGAAGGGCAGACCUGGCUGUGAUUCCUGAGACUCUCUCUCCUGGAAUACAGGUCUUCAACCCCGGGGCACAGUUUCUUCUCCAAGUCCUCGAAGAAAACUGCUAGGGCUGGUCAGGCCCAUCCACAAAGGCCCAACUCUACGAGGGCUGUCAGAGGACCGAGAGAGGACUCCUCAUUCUCCAUGCUCAGGGCUAGGCAAGGCUUUCUGGGCCCAGGAAGACUGAAAGGAGCCCAUGAUGACUCAGGAGCCUUUUUCUGGCAUAAAGAGAAGAGACGCUAAAAAGAGAAGGUGGCUGGAGAAGGACUUUGCUUUGCCAUCAAUCUUGCCUGGCUCUCCCGGGAAAGAGUAGAAGGACUGAGUGAUGUAUUUGUGUUACGAGUGGUCCUUGGUGCUGGGCUUGACAGCCUGGAUCCUCCUAAGAGCUUACGUAGACAUCAGGCCCCACUGAGGAGUCUGCCCUCCUACUCACCUCUCCUGACCUCCAGAGGCUAGAAGCAUCUCUAUCAGACUCUUUCAUUGGAGAACUUCAUGUAGCCGCCAUCUGGACUGCUCAUGUGGCCACUGAUGGUGAAGGGUGGCCCCACUUCCAAGUCCUUCAGGUUUCUGAGACAGAGUUCCAAUAAAACGGUUGAAACUGAGAACUUGGCCUCUCCCUGGGACCUGUCUCCCUAGACUAGAACCUACAGAGUGGUUCCUAGAAAGAGGGCAAUCUUUAGGUCACUGAUUCGUUGACUUCUCUUUCCAGCGAAGAUUCAGCUCAUCUCUCAGGGCCAGAGGAGAAGCAGGCUUGCCCUAUGGCAGGGAAUAGGGAGAUGAUGCACCCCAAGAGGUCUUCCUGACUUCUCUUCCUAAAAUCAUGACUUCCUUUAAUUGUUUUCUUUUUUGAAUCCCUUACUGUGUCCAAUAUUAUAUUUUUUACAAUCAGGCUUAUCUCCAGCAUUGACAGUGAGAUGCAUAGAGACAGAGAAUAUGCCAAGCCAUCUUUGUAUUCUUGGAAAUAAAUACCAUAAAACUUG